AAUAAAAAUGGGGACGUCAUCAACUGCAAGUCAAGAUAUGCUGACCGGGUGGCCUGUCACUGGGAGUUCCGAUUCAAUGGGGUUGCAAAUCAUGGAAAAGGUGACUCUUCAUCUUCCUGACCUCAACUGACUGUGCAGGUAUGGCCAUGCCUAAACUGGAGCCAAAUGCAUGCUUCUUUGAAUCAGUUACCAACUCCUGGAGAAGCAAGGUCCAAACAUGGAAGAAACCCCAUAAAAUGUUUUGCAGUAUUCA